rnacentral:rRNA from 1 species
ACGGGUGAGUAAUACAUCGGAACGUGCCCGAUCGUGGGGGAUAACGGAGCGAAAGCUUUGCUAAUACCGCAUACGAUCUACGGAUGAAAGCAGGGGACCGCAAGGCCUUGCGCGGACGGAGCGGCCGAUGGCAGAUUAGGUAGUUGGUGGGAUAAAAGCUUACCAAGCCGACGAUCUGUAGCUGGUCUGAGAGGACGACCAGCCACACUGGGACUGAGACACGGCCCAGACUCCUACGGGAGGCAGCAGUGGGGAAUUUUGGACAAUGGGCGCAAGCCUGAUCCAGCCAUGCCGCGUGCAGGAUGAAGGCCUUCGGGUUGUAAACUGCUUUUGUACGGAACGAAAAGACUCCUUCUAAUAAAGGGGGUCCAUGACGGUACCGUAAGAAUAAGCACCGGCUAACUACGUGCCAGCAGCCGCGGUAAUACGUAGGGUGCAAGCGUUAAUCGGAAUUACUGGGCGUAAAGCGUGCGCAGGCGGUUAUGUAAGACAGAUGUGAAAUCCCCGGGCUCAACCUGGGAACUGCAUUUGUGACUGCAUAGCUAGAGUACGGUAGAGGGGGAUGGAAUUCCGCGUGUAGCAGUGAA